AAGCUCGUAGUUGAACCUUGGACCUGGCUGAUCUGUCCUCCUAAUCGAGCGUACGGAUUCGGUCGGGUCUUUCCUUCUGGGGAACCCUAUGUCCUUCAUUGGGUGUAGUGGGGAACCAGGACUUUUACCUUGAAAAAAUUAGAGUGUUCAAAGCAGGCCUUUGCUCGAAUACAUUAGCAUGGAAUAAUAGAAUAGGACAUCGGUUCUAUUUUGUUGGUUUCUAGGACCGCUGUAAUGAUCAAUAGGGAUAGUCGGGGGCGUCCGUAUUCAAUUGUCAGAGGUGAAAUUCUUGGAUUUAUUGAAGACGAACUACUGCGAAAGCAUUCGCCAAGGAUGUUUUCAUUAAUCAGUGAACGAAAGUUAGGGGAUCGAAGACGAUCAGAUACCGUCGUAGUCUUAACCAUAAACUAUGCCGACUAGGGAUCGGACGGUGGUUUUUUUAUGCCCCGUUCGGCACCUUA
rnacentral:rRNA from 1 species